GAUAUAAAUUUAUUGAUGGAAAGCUAAAUUAACUUGGUAUUUAACCAGUGAAGCAGAUGAAUAAAAAUCUAACAAAAUUUUUAUUUUACAAGCCAUUAUUUUAAAGGAUUGCUUUAACAAUUCCGUUCAAACACGCUUGUAAUUUAAUGUUACAUUUAUGAUUUAAUAUUAUUUCUUUACAGGAAACCGUUUACCUCAACCAGAGUUAUAUUUCAUAGAAUUAUGUUGACCAUGAUCCAAAUAUUGCCAUGGAUGUGCACUUGUGUCUUAGGCUUAUGCUUUGCAAAAGGUUCACCAUCGCCCUUAAGUUGCUGUGGGUUUUAUGGUUUUACUUCCAACCUGGCAUAUAAAUGCACUUAGUAUCUGAAGUUAUUUGUCAAUAACUGGUGAUCAGACUUUCAAACGAACACGUUUUUAAGGGCUGAGAAGGUGAAAGUUAGAAGUCUGCAGACUGCAACGUAAAUCAAUUUUCAACACAUGGUUUUCUGAAUAUAUUUAGUUUUCGAUUGAAAUGA